rnacentral:rRNA from 1 species
GAUGAACGCUGGCGGCGUGCCUAAUACAUGCAAGUCGAGCGAACAGACGAGGAGCUUGCUCCUCUGACGUUAGCGGCGGACGGGUGAGUAACACGUGGAUAACCUACCUAUAAGACUGGGAUAACUUCGGGAAACCGGCGCUAAUACCGGAUAAUAUAUUGAACCGCAUGGUUCAAUAGUGAAAGACGGUUUUGCUGUCACUUCUAGAUGGAUCCGCGCCGCAUUAGCUAGUUGGUAAGGUAACGGCUUACCAAGGCAACGAUGCGUAGCCGACCGGAGAGGGUGAUCGGCCACACUGGAACUGAGACACGGUCCAGACUCCUACGGGAGGCAGCAGUAGGGAAUCUUCCGCAAUGGGCGAAAGCCUGACGGAGCAACGCCGCGUGAGUGAUGAAGGUCUUCGGAUCGUAAAACUCUGUUAUUAGGGAAGAACAAAUGUGUAAGUAACUAUGCACGUCUUGACGGUACCUAAUCAGAAAGCCACGGCUAACUACGUG